UUUUUUUUGUCUUUUUUUUAGGGUCCCGCCCAAGGCAUAUGGAAGUUCCUAGCCAGGGGUAGAAUCAGAGCGUAGCUGCUGGCCCACACCACAGCACAGCAAUGCCAUCUCCAAGCCGCAGCUUCAAUCUACACCACAGCUUACGGCAAUGUCAGAUCCUUAACCUACUAAGCAAGGCCGGGGAUUGAACCCGUAUCCUCAUGGAUACUGGUCAGGUUCAUUACCACUGAGCCUGAUGGGAACUCCCCAAAGUGCUUUUAAACCAUUUACUUAAUAAUACUCCCCACGUACCCCUCACAACGUUCAGUGAUGAAAUAUUAAUUUCUAAAAUACUCCUUCAAGGGAGAAGAGAAGGAAAUUUAUUUCUUUGUUAGUAGUUGACUACUUUUUAAAAGUUAGCACUUUUUUUUUUUUUUUGGAGCAGUUUUAGGUUUACAGAAAAUUGAACAGGAAGAGUACAGAGAGUUCCCGCACACUCCCCCGCCCUCAGCUUCCCCGCUAUCAACACCGCGCGUUACGGGCGCAAGUGUCACAACUGAUGAACCAGUGAGGACACAGUCUUUUCAGAUAGGCUUCUUUCACUCAGUAAUGUGCAUUUGUUUCCGCCAUGGUUUUUUUUGUUUUGUUUUGUUUUUUGGGUGUGGUUUUUUUUUUUUCUUUUUAGGGCCACACCUGUGGCAUAUGGAGGUUCCCAGGCUAGGGGUCAAGUUGAAGCUGCAGCUGCCAGCCUAUGCCACAACCACAGCAACACUGGAUCCGAGCUCCAUCUGCGACCUACAUAGCAGCUUGCGGCAACACUGGAUCCUUAACCCACUGAGCAAGGCCAGGGGUCGAACCCGUGUCCUCAAGACACGAAUUCAGGUUCUUAACCCGCUGAGCCACAACAGGAACUUCUCCUUCAUGUCUUUCCUGACUUGAUGGUUCACUUAUUUUUAGUGCUGCGUCAUAUUCCACUGUCUGGAUGGACCACAGUUUAUUUAUCCACUCGUCUAGUGAAGGACUUCCUGGCUGCUUCCAUGAUGUUUUUGGCCACUGCUAAAACAUUCAUGUGCAGGUUUUUGUAUGGAGAGGGGAACUUUUUGAGUUAAAUUUUUAAAAACAAACGUCUUACAGCAGAUGCCACUUAGGACGUCAUUACCAUUGUGAUUUCCUGAUGUUAUUAAGAUUACGUUGAAACCCAGAGAGAAAAGCCACGGGGAUGUGACAACGGAAGCCUAUGUUACAGAACAUCCCCUGCACAGGAUGCUUGAUUUGGAUCUAACUAUUCAGGGCUUAGCAUCUACCCGUUAGGAAGGAGGAAAGGAGCCACAGGGCCUCAGGUGGGAACACCCUGAAACAACAGAGAACUCAGCUCUCAGAGCCUGAACAACGGGGCUUUGCUUUGCUGAGUCAACAAGAGCGGAGGGAGGCAGGUGCUGGUAUGGUCCCCAGACACCCUCAGACAUCCUCCCUCCUGCCGUCUGUCCUGACUCCACCUCCACCACUUCGUCCUCAGCGGCUCAUGGUUGCCAGGAGGGUGUGGCACAUUCAGGCCAGGCAGCCAGGAAGGGGCACCAGGAGGCCCUUUAUAAGAAGCUUCUAUGUGGGCGUCUUUGGUUUGUAUCUCACUGGCCAGGCAGCGUCCCACAGCCACCUCUGGACUCAAGGGAGGCUGCAAGGCACCAUUCAGUUCCUCACAGUUCUGUGGUGGCAGAGAUCAAAGGGACAGGCACUGGGCAUGGCUACUGGAGAGGCUAAGCCCACAGGGAGUAAACCACAACAGCAGACAAACUCAAGGUGGCUCCGGUUGAGCCCCUUCCAAGCUCCUUGCAGCCCUCAGGGGUCUCCUAGUUGCUUGUUUGGGACCUGGCUAGAAAGGGAAGCUCAGAUGGGCUGUCACCUCCUGGUGCCACCGCAGCCCCGUUCCCAUCACGACUCAACAAUUCAUGCACAGGACGUGCCUGGACGACCUCCUGUUUGACUGGCGGCUUGGCUGGAUCCAAAGCCCAGGUUCCCGAGGUUGAAGGUCGGGUUCUGGACGGAGGGCAUGCCUUGCUUAUUUCCCACUCCCACUGCUUUGAUUUCAGCCUUGUUAUCUCUCACUUGGAUCUUGGUGAAACUUCAGAAUUUUCUCCCUCUCUGCAUCUCUCUGCAUUCUGUUCACUUCUUCCAGUGCUUCCAGCUGAGCCUUUCGGAAGCACAGGGCAGGAUGGUCCCUCGCUGGCUCACACAUCUUUGCUGCCUCCCCACCAGUGCAUCUGUGCAGCCCUGAUGCUCUAGCCUGAUGCUUCUUCCACAAUCUGUCUCCCUCUCCCCACGCCCAGUCUGGCUGCACGCCCUGUCUCUGAGCCUCUGCUCAUGCUGUUCCCUCUGCUUGUACUGUGUUCUUCUUCUUAUACAAAUCCAGCAUUUCAAGUACGAAGCGUGGAAAAACCCACACUAAUCCACAUUAGAAAGUUCUAAUAUGAGAUACUUAUCAAAGCAUUUGAAAUGCGAGUGCCAAAGUCAUUGCUCAGUACAGCUGUGCAUCUAAAAGUAUUGACAAGGAAAAAAAUAAACACACAAGACCAGAGAACUUAUAGAAAUAUAUCUUGGUAGAGUCAUAACGUGCAGUGCAAACAAGGUAUUAUACCAAAUAAAAAUGGAAAAGCUGCUGAUUCCUGCAGCUGGAUGUUGAUAGGUCACGUGACAUGACCAUUUACCCAUUCAUUCAUAUGAAAAAUUUUAAAGCUACAUAGAGAAGUGCCUACUGUCCUUACUCUUAUUACAUUUUCCGAGCAUAUUUCUUAAUCUUUUGGGCCUCAGCUGUCACUUAUAUAAAAUGGGCAUAUUCGUAAACUGAGCAGAAGACAGAGAGAAACUGGAAAAAUUGUUGGGCGUCUUUCCAGCUGUGAAAGGUCAGGUACGAUUAGGUUUUAAAAGCAAAAUAAAAUAAUGUAUCAAAAAUUAUUAAAUACUUUCAUAAGAGUAGCCUCUUUUCAAUCUCCCUCUCUAACGUCUGCAAGCACAGGACGAAUACCCAUGCCUAUCUAGAGUCUGGAGGGAGAGACUGAGUUGGCAUGAGAAAUAUCUAAAUUGCUAUUGUCUCUCCACAGUUGUUUCAGGUUCAAGAGAAGGCCUCAACUCUGUGGUUUCUCGUGGUUUAAUUCUUUCGAGGGGUUCUACCCAGCCCCGAAUUUUACUAGCAUCUCUAGAGAGUAUCAAGAAUGAUGAAAGUCUCGAAGGCAAAGAGAUUCGUGUGCAAUUUCAGCAUGUUCCAAAUUGCAAAUCCCAUGACAUUCACUUGCGGGAUCCUGCUUGUUUCUGUGAGCAAAGACGCGGACCCUUACCCAGAGGCGAGGAAGAUUUUCCAUCUCUCUAAACGGUGGCCCAGGUCACCAGAUGCCACCUCCUCCUGGUUGUUCCCACUUGAUUUUCAAAACAUAACUGUUCAUACAAGGAAGCGGUGAAUUAUAGAAUUGUCUCUUCACAUCUUUCUCUGUCCUUUGAGCCCAGGGGAAGGGGUGUCUGCUGAGGUUCACAAUUCAACCAUGUUGGGGAAGCAAGGGUGAGUGGGGUCUUAGGAUUCUGCCAUAGACGCAUGGUGGUGCCUUUGCAACUAUACCUUUGGCUAAAGAGAGAUUCACUGCAUGAGUCGUGAUGUGUUUUUUCAUUUGUUUGUUUUUUUAGGGCCGCACCCGCUGCAUAAGGAGGUUGCCAGGCUAGGGGUCAAAUCAAAGCUGUAGUCUCUGACCUACACGACAGCCACAGCAAUUCGGGAUCUGAGCUGCAUUUGUGACCUACACACAGCUCACGGCAACACCAGAUCCUUAACCCACUGAGCGAGGCCAGGGAUCAAACCUGUGACCUCAUGGCUACUCGUCAGAUUGGUUUCCACUGAGCCCCACGGGAACUCCAUGAGUCAUGAUUUAAACGCCACCCUCUGGGAGCAUCUGAUGCAAUGAGGGGUGACCCGGAGCUGAACUGAAAAGUCACAAUCAGCCACGGAGCUGCCAGGAGCAAGUCCACAGCUGGCCAGCCCUGUCUUCCUGGAGCAUAGCACUUGCCAAAACAGCUAAAGGUGCAGAGGCAUCAGUGGGCAGGAAGUCAGAUGUGAGAAACUGCUUAAAGGACUCAUUUGAGGAACAUACAUGAUUCCUAAUAAUCAAAGAGAAACGUUUCCAGGUGCCCCCUCUGUCAGUCACUGUGCUAAGCUCGUCUCACCGAUGACUUUCAGGCAGUUUGACCCCAGAGCCCGCUGGGGUCUAACCCUGCACACGUCACUCCAGGCUCCCUAUUAGUUAAGGAUUUGUGGGGCCCGGGGCACUGCAUUUGGCCACUGUGAGCAUAAAAUAGGGAGCAGACGCAAGGGUCAGCCCCCAACGGCUGAAGCCUUUGGUUUCAUUGAUCUUCUCUAUUGUUUUUGUCUUUCUUUCAUUUCUUUCAGCUCUGAUCUUUAUGAUUUCUUUCCUGCUACUAACAUUUGGCCUUGUUUAGUCUUCCCUCUUUAGUUGCUUUAGGUAUAAGGUUAGGUUGUUUAGUUACGAAUGGAUAAAGAAGAUGUGGUGCAUAUGUGCAAUGGAAUAUUACUCAGCCAUAAAAAAGAAUGAGAUAAUGUCAUUCGUGGGCCACAUGGAUGAACCUAGAGACUCUCAUACCAAGCGAAGUAAGUCAGACAAAGACAAAUAUCAUAUGAUGUUACUUAUGUAUGGAACCUAAUAAAAAUGAUACAAAAGAACGUAUUUUAAAAACAGAGACAAAUUUACAGAUUUCAACACCAAUCUCAUGGGUACCAUAGGUGAAACCCUGAGGGGAAGGAGGAAUUGGGAGGGUGGGAAGAGCACAUACCCAGUACUGUGUAAAACAGAUGAUUGACAAGAACCUACUGCAGAGUACAGGAAGAUGGACUCAACAGUUUGUAAUUACGUAAAUGGGAAAAAAGAAUGUCUCUGUUUAUACGUAGGAAUGAUUCACUUUGUCUACACCCGAAACGAAUACAACUUUGUAAAUCAACUAUACUCCGAUAAAAUUAAAUUUAAAAAAAAGUUACGCCAUUUAAAGAAAUAAAAAUAAAUAAAAGCUUUGAAGGAGGCCAACAUGUCCAGAGACAAACAGUGAUACAGAAGCAGCAGCCCUCUUUGAAAGAGCCUUGUUCUCUCUUGGUGUGAAAAAGCUUGUUGGAGGGAGUCCAAAUGAGGCCCAUGUCACCCUGGAGACCCUGCACCGCUCAAGCUGGAGGGCAGGGAUGUCCCCGGGGGGGAUGGUCCCGCAGGGCCAGGCAGGGGGUCCAGAUUCCAAGUCCAGCACCACAGGCCUCUCUCAGCUCCUGUUAGCCCAGCGCCAGCUCAGUGCAGCUCAAUAGAAAAGGACCGAAACGUCUACCUCUGAGAGCCUUCCCAGAUCUGAACACAUGUGGAAUGCGUCUCACUUGCAAGAGAAACUGGCUUAACGAACGGAGACCAGGCCCCUCCAUGACCACCUGCUGCACCUGUGCCUUCAAGCGGGGGCUUCCUGGCAUCUGCGCCCCUCGCUCCUCACGUCACAGAGAACGGCAGGACCGGCCGGAGCAGGACAGAUGGACAUUCGCGGCACAGAAGCAGAGGACAAAAUGGCCCAACAUGAACGAGAGAAGCCGAAAGAAACAUUUAUUCUACAAAAACAAGGAGCUGCAAAUAAAUACCCACUUGGCCUGUGAUUGAAAGCAGGUCUGGUUUCCUGAUGCUCCUCUCAUGACUUUUUCUGGAGAAACACGAGGCCGCCACAGCCUUUGUGGGAUGGCUGGAAGGAAAGGCUGGAAACUCCAUCCUCAGACACAGGGGCCCCUGGACCCGGCUCAGCGAGUUGGACCAGCAGCCAGGUCGGGCCACGUGCUGAGCGGUGACGUGUCACAGUUUACUUCUGAACCCGGUGCGGAGCUUCAGGCUGUUCUUGGCAAGCAUCGCCCAUACGUCACAGAGGGACAAGCUUGCAAGAUGCUCCACGGAGCGCUAAGCCAAGGUGAGGACAUUCCGAAAGAAUGUUCCUCCCAGCAAUGGUUUCCACGCUGCCGAGCAGGAGACCAGCAGCUCCCGAGCUGGGUGGGGUGGGGACGGGAGACAGCGGUGGCUGGGGUGGGGAGAGGGGCCAUCUCCAAGUUCUUGGCUUUCCCCUCGGUCUCUAAUGAUUUUGAGAAGGUAUAAGAAAACAUUAGAGUGUUUGGCCAUAAAAAUACAAUGAGCCCUUUAUCCACUGUCCUCCCUAUGAAAAAUAUUGCACCCCAUUUUUCGUGGAUCAGAUCAAAGCAAUACUGGAAUUUAUAUCUAGUUUUUGCAUUCUUAUGGACAGACUGGCUAUCUUUGGAUGGUUUGUGGCAACCAGCCUAGAAAAUGGAUUCCCUGGGUAACAGUCCAACCAGAGCCUCUAUUUUUUGGAGAAAAGAAUAUGAAUUGGGUAAUGAAGGCUGUGGGAGAAGGGAACUCAGGCCUGGGCCCCAGGCAGAGGCUGUGCUGCCGUGGGGGCCCCUGGAGUGGGGUCUGAACCCCACCCCACCCCUUCUGCUUGCCUUUCCCACAGGGGUCAGCCUCCUGGGGCAGAGAGGCCAGGCCCAGGGAUGGGCACCCAAGGGGACAAACAGAAGCAGUGGCCCCGAAAGCACAGCAGCCACGGUUCCCUACAAGGCAGCUCGACCACCGAAAUCAGUGAGGGCCCACGCCCCAAAGGUCAUAGCUCCAGCCACUCCACCUCACUCCCCAGGGGUCGACUGCCUGUGCAAAAGAAGGGAGC
rnacentral:lncRNA from 1 species